AAGCCCGCUGUAUAAAGAUUGAGUCAGUCCACAGCCAUUGGCUUUUCUUUUGCAGAUCGCUCACUUCAAGAUCCCUCGGUACAUAGUGUUUGUGAAGGAUUUCCCGCUCACCGUCUCGGGCAAGAUUCAGAAAUACAAACUGAGGGAGCGAAUGGAGAAGCAUCUUCAGCUUUGAACCCAACAACCCAGCGCAACCCAAAAUUAACAUUUCUUCUGCCAACUUUUAUACUUCAGCUUUCUAAGCCGUUAAGAGAGCUGGCAACCUGCCUUAACAUAGCAAUCACCAGCCUGCCUUAAGAUGCUUUAGUCAGGCCUACUUAAAAUAACGUGGGGUUUUUUCUAAUAAAUAAAAAUUCUGUUUCUUUAGCA